GGCUAAAAUCAUAAAAACAAAAAUACCUGGAUCAAUAUUUGGAGUAAAAACCAAGAAAAUGGGAAAGAUUUGAUGGAAAAAGCAAUGAUUUGUGAUGUUAUGUGGGAGUAGAAGACACCAGUAGGAAGAAAAGAGUUAACAGAAAAAAUGGCAAUAAAUGUUAAAGAAAAAAGGAAAAUAAAGACACAAACAUACCUGAAGAGAAAGAAGAAAGAGUAGGAGAGGAAAUGAGGAGAUUUGAAGCUAAUUUCUAGGGUUCACUUUGGGGAUAAAUGUUGAGGAAGAAAUCUGCUGAAGUGAAAAAGUUGAAGAAAUCUGCUGGAAAGAGUUGAAG
rnacentral:lncRNA from 1 species